rnacentral:rRNA from 1 species
CAAUAGCGUAUAUUAAAGUUGUUGCAGUUAAAAGCUCGUAGUUGGAUUUGUGGUGUGUCCAGUUGGCCUUUGCUCUUUGAGUGAUAGUGCUUUACUGGUCUGCCAUGUUUGGGUGGAAUCUGUGUGGCAUUAAGUUGUCGUGCAGGGGAUGCCCAUCGUUUACUGUGAAAAAUUAGAGUGUUUCAGGCAGGCUAUCGCCGGAAUACAUUAGCAUGGAAUAAUGGAAAAGGACUUCAACCUCUUCUGUUGGUCUGAGAGGCUGUAGUAAUGAUUAAUAGGGAUAGUUGGGGGCAUUAGUACUUGACUGUCAGAGGUGAAAUUCUCCGAUUUGUUAAAGACUAACUUAUGCGAAAGCAUUUGCCAAGGAUGUUUUCAUUAAUCAAGAACGAAAGUUAGGGGAUCAAAGACGAUUAGAU